UUACGACCAUAUCACGAUGAGACACCGAUUCCUGUACGAUAAUUGAAGUUAAGCAACAUCGAGCCUUGUCAGUACCUAGAUGGGUGACUACUUGGAAAAAACAGGUGUUGUA